UGGGGAAUAUUGCACAAUGGGCGCAAGCCUGAUGCAGCCAUGCCGCGUGUGUGAAGAAGGCCUUCGGGUUGUAAAGCACUUUCAGCGAGGAGGAAGGUGGUGAGCUUAAUACGCUCAUCAAUUGACGUUACUCGCAGAAGAAGCACCGGCUAACUCCGUGCCAGCAGCCGCGGUAAUACGGAGGGUGCAAGCGUUAAUCGGAAUUACUGGGCGUAAAGCGCACGCAGGCGGUUUGUUAAGUCAGAUGUGAAAUCCCCGGGCUCAACCUGGGAACUGCAUUUGAAACUGGCAAGCUAGAGUCUCGUAGAGGGGGGUAGAAUUCCAGGUGUAGCGGUGAAAUGCGCAGAGAUCUGGAGGAAUACCGGUGGCGAAGGCGGCCCCCUGGACGAAGACUGACGCUCAGGUGCGAAAGCGUGGGGAGCAAACAGGAUUAGAUACCCGUGGUAGUCCACGCUGUAAACGAUGUCGAUUUGGAGGUUGUGCCCUUGAGGCGUGGCUUCCGGAGCUAACGCGUUAAAUCGACCGCCUGGGGAGUACGGCCGCAAGGUUAAAAC
rnacentral:rRNA from 1 species